rnacentral:rRNA from 1 species
AUCCCGUGAACCAUCGAGUCUUUGAACGCAAGUUGCGCCCGAAGCCAUUAGGUCGAGGGCACGCCUGCCUGGGCGUCACGCAUCGCGUCGCCCCCUCCCUCCGCCCGAAUGCGGAUGCGGGGGGGGACGGAAGUUGGCCUCCCGUGGGCUCCCGCCCGCGGCCGGCCC